AAUUUUCAUCAAAAUUUAAAUACAGGAUCAAAACUGUAUCAUAUGCCCUUAAUGCCAUUUCAGCACACUUUGUUAUAUCAUAGAGGCCAUUUUUUUCAUUGAAGGAUUAUAACAUUGUCAGAACAACUGACUUUAUAUCAUGUAUAUCAUCUGAGCAUGAGGCAUUUUAUGGAAGUAUUUUUUUUAAGAACACGUCAAUGUAUUAUUAAUGUUAUAGUUAUAUAUUCAACUUGUUUUCAAUUCUUUGUCUGUACAAUUAUCGUUUUACUCAAAGAAUGCCCUCAACUGCAUAAUUCAAGACUAAAUGUACAGGAGACAUGCCAUUUCAAUAGGUUGCAUAUGGGAGUUCUUAUUUACUUACACUAAUCAAACUAAUUAAAUUGAACAAAUUAAUGGAAAGAUAAGAAAUUAUAAACAUGUAGUAUAUAGAAAUUUUAUUCAUAUUUUUCUUCAUUUUCUAAAAUAAAUGUUUUUGAAGCAUGAUUGGAGGAUGGAUAAAGUGUUCACAAAUAUUGCUUCAAACAAGGAUAUAUGGAUCCGGAUGCUCAUGUAACUUGUUAUACCAAAUAUUUAAAAUAUUCUGUUUCUGAGAUAAAGAUAAUUUAAAUUCAGCUUUAAGCAAUAAAAGUAAGAAAAAUGCCCCCCCCCCCCUUUUCUGCUAAGAUUGUUGUAUGUGAGGCUUAUUUGAUAUAAUUUCAUGUUACGAGCUAAAAUGCAUGGUAAGAAAAAUACCUGAAGCUAAAGAAUAGAACACAAAGAAAUGUUAAUUUAUAAAAAAAUACAUUGUAAAAUUAAGAGCAUUUAGACACAUAUUGCAUCUGACCUAAAAAAUGUGAAUUUUUGAGAACUGCUUUUAUUUU
rnacentral:lncRNA from 1 species